GACGAACGCUGGCGGCAUGCCUAAUACAUGCAAGCCGAGCGAACAGAUGAAGUGCUUGCACUUCUGACGUUAGCGGCGAACGGGUGAGUAACACGUAAGGAAUCUACCUAUAAGCGGGGGAUAACAUUCGGAAACGGGUGCUAAUACCGCAUAAUAUCUUCUUCCGCAUGGAAGAAGAUUGAAAGACGGCUCUGCUGUCACUUAUAGAUGACCUUGCGGUGCAUUAGUUAGUUGGUGGGGUAACGGCCUACCAAGACGAUGAUGCAUAGCCGACCUGAGAGGGUGAUCGGCCACAUUGGGACUGAGACACGGCCCAAACUCCUACGGGAGGCAGCAGUAGGGAAUCUUCCGCAAUGGGCGAAAGCCCGACGGAGCAAUGCCGCGUGAGUGAAGAAGGCCUUCGGGUCGUAAAACUCUGUUAUAAGAGAAGAACAAAUUGUAGAGUAACUGCUACAGUCUUGACGGUAUCUUAUCAGAGAGCCACGGCUAACUACGUGCCAGCCGCCGCCGUAA
rnacentral:rRNA from 1 species